UAAAAUAAUACAUAAAUACAAAAAAAAAAAAAUUAUAAUCGAUUCUUUGUUUUAAAAAAACUAUAUUUCGACCAAACUCGGUAGAUGUUUUUUUUUACAAUAAAGUUUUCAUAAUACAUAAAUUGUUUUUUCUUUUGUUAUAGCAAUACGGGCCAGCCGACCAUUCAAUUUCGGCAGGUAUUUUAAUGAAAGCCUAUCCGGACUUGAAGAUCAAUUUCAGCGAAGAAUGAAAAAAAAAAUAACAAAACGACGUCAUAAAAUUAUAUUAUGCCGUAACACGAAAUAUUAAAAAUAAAA